CAGCUCGAGUUUCUCUUCAUUCACGCAUAAAUCUUUCGCCUUUUACUUAAGAUUUCCGUUGAGGGGAGCAUAAACAUGCAUAAAACAAACUAUAACAAACGCUUUCUUGAAAGUAAA